rnacentral:rRNA from 1 species
AACGAACGCUGGCGGCAUGCCUAACACAUGCAAGUCGAACGAGACCUUCGGGUGUAGUGGCGCAUGGGUGCGUAACGCGUGGGAACCUGCACUUAGGUUCGGACUAACUCUACGAAAGGGGUGCUAAUACCGGAUAAUGUCUUCUGACCAAAGAUUUAUUGCCUUUGGAUGGGCCCGCGUUGAAUUAGCUAGUUGGUAGGGUAAAAGACUACCCAGGCGAGGAUUCAUAGCUGGGAUGAGUGGAUGCUCAGCAACACUGCGACUGAGAGACGGCCCGGACGCUUACGGGAGGGAGAAGGGGUGAAGAUGGGACAAUGCGCGAAUGACGAAGCUAGCAGUGUCGCGUGAGUGAGUAAGGAGGUAGGAUUGUAAGGCUCUUUUACUCGGGAUGAUAAUGACAGUACCAAGAGAAUAAGCUCCGGCAAACUCCGU